rnacentral:lncRNA from 1 species
CUAGGCAAUAAUGCCUAUACACCAAUACAUCUUCUACAAUCUGAUUUUCUAUAUAAAAUAAUUUGGUUUUUGGAUCCUAUUGUCAGCCUAACAUAUUUGUUAUACUAUAAUGAGAUAAGCACCAUUGGGCCAAGCCCAGGAUAAACCUAAAUGACAAAGUGAAAUCUGAUAUUAAUCGAUAGUCUGCCUCUUAAGAAAAGUGUACCUAAAGGGAUUACCCUGAAACAAGAGACAAGUCAAAAAGAUAUUAAAGUGUAAAUGUGUAAUUAUGUACUCUGGUGGGGUCAAUUUUUUGCUUGUCACGUGUGCCAAACAUGUUGCGAUGAUUAAUAUGAUAAUAAUAGUAUAUAAAGUGCCAAAAGGAAGUCACGAGGACCAUGAGGAUUAG